rnacentral:lncRNA from 1 species
ACACAGCAGUGGUGGCAUCCCGCACUGCAGGCAGCCGUGGAAGACCUGAGAGAUGGCGAUGCCAUUUGCGUUGUAUCUGACAGAUCCAGGCUGCCCCCAGCUCUACCUCGCCUAUUACUUGGCUAAAAUAGCCUUGAUGCUGUGGGACGAGCUGCUGGUCUCCUGAGCUGGCACAACAAGCAACACAGCACUGGUUGGAGCACCGUGACCAUUCCCCCCACCUGGGAAGGGUUUCUCCUGAAUUGUCCUGCAGCAACAAAAGCAGCACAGCACAGAAAGGCUCCAGCACAGAAUCACAGCAUCAUUAAGGUUGGAAAAGACCUCCAAGAUUCCCAAUGCCAACCACCCCGCCAUGCCCACUGCCCACGUCCCUCAGUGCCACAUCUCCAUGGCUCUGGAGCACCUCCAGGGACGGUGACCCCACCACUCCCCGGGCAAUAUAUGAAUUGGUGUUGAUAAUACUUCAUUUCCAAACACAGUUCUGAUCACCUGAACCACACCUGUGUUGUUCCCUGGAAACAUUUUGAAACGUUGCUAAUUUCCAUAGUGUAAGCAUGGCUCAAGGUGUGCUCGGUUACCACACUGCUGACACACAGCCCUGGUACCCACGCAGAGGUGUAGCAUGAAGCACUGCACGGGGUGCCCAGAGAGAUGGUGGGACCCCAUCCUUGCGGACGCCCAAGGUCAGGGGAUGGGCUCUGAGUGCCCAUGUUCACUGAGGGGAGUGGGACCAGAUGGCCUUAAAGGGUACCUUUCAACUCAAACCAUUCUAUGAUUACAACUGCUACCAUUUACAGAUUAAUAUAGAAUCACAAAAUCCUAGAAUGGCCUGGGUUGCAAAGGACCACAAUGCCCAUCCAGUUCCAACCCCCUGCUAUGUGCAGGGUCGCCAACCAGCAGCCCAGGCUGCCCAGAGCCACAUCCAGCCUGGCCUUGAAUGCCUGCAGGGAUGGGGCAUCCACAGCCUCCUUGGGCAACCUGCUGGAGGCCAGCAUUUGCAGGGGGAGCUAGCAUCACAUUUAGACCGUUGGUAAUGAUUGGUUAUAACCAGCUCCAGCACACGUGAGCUCUCAUUCAGCGACUUCUGUUGGGCCCAUCUCACUCCUGAAGGUGUUCCCAAAAAGCCUGCGUUUCCCAUGAACUCAUCAGAUAGGAGGUAUAAUUACCACCUGUCAUUACAAAGCUGCGUGUUCUUCAGCCUUCCUGACUAUAGCACCACUGCAGUUGCUCGAGGAGUAUGGAGGUAACACUCAACCAAACGUAAUUCUGUUUAUCCUGCUCUCCCUAAUGCAUGUUAACCUCCAUCUGCUGACAUGAACGUCCACAUUUAUUAAAC